GACACCUGGGCAGACUGCUGUCGUGGAUUAUUACAGAUUAGUUCCUCGUUUACAGUGAAUGGGCUGUUACCUGAAGUCUCUUCCUGCGUUACAGAGACUGCCCUUACCAUUACCCACCCCUCCUCUCCCUCCAGUUGUGUCAUCUUGUCCGUACCCCACCUAUCUGUUCGGCUACAUCUCCAAGAUGCUGUAAUUUCCUUGGCCCGGCUUGAUGUUUAUUGUGAAGCUGAAAUUGAAAAUGGCCUGUAAUGGAGCGAGCCGCGCAGCCCCGGGACCAAUUCACAAUCUAAAUGACUUGCUCCUUUUCAAUGGCAUCGACUGGAGGGCUCUUUGUGCAGCCUCGUACCUAAUCAACCUCUGGUGUGACCCCCAGCUCUCGGGGGCCGCUGUCGGAUUAAUGAUAAAAUCAUUGGUUCAAACAAUUAUUCGACCUGAAAUGGCCGGCCAUUUUACUCUGAAAAUUAAAGAAUGUGAAAUUAAUUUCUUUCUGCACCAUGUUGUAGCAGCGCCACUUAUGGCUGAACUCUGCCCCCUAAACUCUUGAUUUCAUAUGAAAGAAUGCUUUUACUUUAUCUAGUUUCUCCUUUUUAGCUUUUUUUCAUAUCCCCUUUCUGCAUUGUUGCAAAUAGCUUCCCAGGUGUCAGAGUAGCAAGGCUUCAACUAUAUGCUUGUCUUUCUGUCACUCUGUCUGCCUGUCUGUCAAACUUUCUUUUUAUCUGUCUGUUAACCCAUCUGUCAGACUGCCUGUCUGUCUGCAUGUUUGGCUAUUAGUUAUGCUCAAUACAUAAACAUAUUGUUUACUCAACAAAAAUAGAAUGGAUUAAAAAUAUGAAUAAGAAUAAAUUAAAUGUAUUCAAGUAAAGAUAGGGACAUUUUAUAUAUUUUCAUUAUAUAAAAAUACAACUGCAGUGAGGUAUUUCAAGCUAUAUUUAAGCAUGACCCUAUAAAAUACUUUGCUCUGUUUCAAUAGCCUCCAGGUUAGCGCUGCUCAUAUGCUUAGUGGGAUUCAAUUUAUUAGUACUGGUCAUUGAACCAACAACCUUUAAUCUGCUCAUCAGUCCAAAAUACCUGCCUUUAUAGGCUGUUGUUGUGUACCUCUACCUCUUGGAGGUACUCUGUCAGGGUCCAGUUUUGAAGACAUCUACCAUCUCUCAAAAAGAAAGGAGAAUAACAAAACGUGUUGUUGGUGGUCUGACAUGAGGAGAUAUUUAUUACCAUUAGCGUAUUAACCUACAGAAUAGUUUGCUCUUUUUUUUUAUAUUGUACAGGUUGGUGCUAGCGCGCUCACUGAGAUAAAAACCUGCCAAUGAACAACUGUUAAUCUGUUUGUCAGUCUAGAUUACCUGCUUUUGUUCUUCAGCUUCAACUUAACUUUAUUAUCCCUGAGGGGAAAUUUGUCUUGCAGCCAUGUGAAACAUAGAACACACGACAUAAACACAAGACACAUAAAACAUACAAUAAUGAUAUGUAAAAACAAAUGAUAAAACUCGGAGCUGUAGGUUGUUGUUUGGUACCUCAACCUCUUGGGGGCACUCUGUCAGAGUCCAGACUUGUUAGAAACAAGAAAGACCGGAAAAUAUUUAAAUACAGGAAAUAUUUAUCACUAUCAGUGGACAUGCCCAAAUGUAUCAUUGAGGCAGUCCGUCCGUCUCUGAAUCAGCUCCGUCAAAACUCUCCAUAAUCUUUCCCCUUCAUUUUGGAAUGACUUUCAGUUUUGCGUUGCCCUCUAAAAACUGAAUUACAAGAGAUAGUAGUACAAUAACUCUGUUAUGAACUGUGA